GGGGAUGUGGCUCAAGCAGUAGCACGCUCACGCCUGGCAUGCGUGUGGCCUGGGUUCAAUCCUCAGCACCACA
rnacentral:tRNA from 1 species